GGCACGCACGGCCUCCCGCAGUUCGUGUGGGGGAGGGUCCCCAGGGGGGUCCCCGGGCCGGUGCCCCACCUCAGCCGGCGCCUAGCAGCUGGGAUAGAACUGGUGCAGACGAGGGGAAUCCGACUGUUUAAUUAAAACAAAGCAUUGUGAAGGCCCGUGGUGGGUGUUGAUGCAAUGUGAUUUCUGCCCAGUGCUCUGAAUGUCAAAGUGAAGAACUUCAACGAAGCGCGGGUAAACGGCGGGAGUAGCUAUGACUCUCUUAAGAGAUGAGGGCAUAGUUACUAACUGGGCUUAGCCGCGGAAGUUGCACCUCCUCAUGGUCCCGCCGGAUACCCUUGUGGUAACCAAGUCGACUUCUGCCCCAGUGUGAGUGAGGGCGUUUAUCAGCCCUCCCUGUCGUUGGGCUCGCCACCCAAUGAUCGUUUCAUGAUCUGCUGAAACAAAAAGUUUGCUACAGUUUGUUCACUGUUGCACAGAGCCUUGUCCACGGGCGUUGCUGUUGGACAAAUGUUGGCAGCUCGAGAGAAGGUCAGCUACUAACUAUUUCUACCCUCACUUGGAUUUGUCAUUUCAUUACUUACCAGACUGAGAAAAUGGUGCAAUCGCUAGCUUUGCGUUACGUCUCUACUGCCACUCAGACUGACCCAUUAGAUCUAAUGGUCACUGUUGCCGAAAUACCAGGGAAGAGGGAUUCGAGGGAAGAGGGAUUCGAUCUCGUAAGUCUGGAGUUUGUUAACUUUGGAAUUGCUAAAGGAGAUGGUAUACAUCACACAGAUGUUUGGGAGUUUUUGGGGCAACUCACUGAGCCUUCUGAGAUCUCCCCUAUGGGGCUGGCCCAGGAAGAGGCUGUGAGUGUAGAGGGAAGUAUUGAAGAGCCUAAAACACCUGAGGCUGAGAGCAGGAGGGGAGAUACUGAAGAGCCCAAAACACUCGAGGCUCCUCAUGGGUCCAAAGCCAUUGGUGCUACGCCAAGAACUCUGGUCGUGUUCAUGCCGGGCAAACAGCCAUCUUGUCCUCAAUGUGAGACCUGGUUUACAAGGAUGUUGGGGCUGAUCGAUCAUCUUAAAAGGGUGCACGGGCAGAGAAAGAUCAUUUUCAGGUGUACAAAAUGUGGUAAACAAAAUCUAAAAUACCACAGUAUCUCGUGUCACAUCCCGCGCUGCAAGGGUAUGGUGUGCAUGGCUCCCACAGGUGAAUGGGUCUGUGAGGUGUGCCAUCGAGAGUUUGCCACCAAGAUUGGCCUGGGUCAGCACAAGAGGAUAAGACAUCCUCUUGUGCAGAAUGUGGAGCGGAUUGUCACUUCCCAUCCCAAAGAGUCAUCGGCCGAGGGGCCCACAAAUGGGUAUGGAGUGAAGAGGAAGAAGCUCUCCUGGUAAAACUGGUGGACAAGUAUACCAGUAAAAGGAACAUCAAUCAACUCAUAGCGGAGCAUAUUCCAACGAAAACGGCAAAGCAGAUAAGCGAUAAAAGACUCCUUCUAGCGAAAGGUCCCUCUGUAAAAGAUCACGAAGGCCUAGUAUGUGCCAUGGGGACUGAAAACCCACCCGAGUCUGCUAAAUUGCCUAAAGAGGGACAGUUAAAGCUCCAAUACCAUGAGAUGAUCAAAGCGGGAUUAUCGGUUGGAAAGUUCACCGUGUAUCGGGAGGCCUUUGAGAAAAUUCUUGAUGGGCAAGAUCCAGGUUGUGUGGUGAAUGACAUAUAUAAUGAGUUUUUCAGUAUUCUGGGGGAGCCUAGCCAAAGUAAAUCUAUCUGUAAGGGUCGAAAGAAGCAGGCAUCCCGUGGCCAAAAAGCAUCCAAAACUACACCAAACUAGAUGUGUAAGAGAGCUAUCAAGAGGGGUAGAUUCUUGUGAUUUCCACUGUUGUUCAAGUCACAUAGAAGGCGCCUCGUGCGUAUCAUCUUGGACAGCACGGAAGCCUUUCAGUGCCAGGUACCAUCAAGCAUUGUCCACGACCACUUUAAGAGUAGAUGGGAUACAUCUGGUACAUUUGGAGGCCUUUUGAGUUUCCCUCCAUAUAAGGAGGCGAAUAACAUUGUGUUUGAGGCCCUAAUUACUGAUAAAGAGGUUGAUAAGAACAUGAGAGAGAUGUGUAAAACCUCCGCUCCCGGGCCAGAUGGGAUCACUUUCGGUCAGAUUAUUGCAAAAGACCCGAAGUUUUCCCGGUUGACUGAGAUCUUCAACCUCUGGCUUAUUACCGGUACUGUUCCAGAUGCGCUGCGGGACUGCAGGACAGUCUUGAUACCCAAGUUUUCAGAUGUAGAGAGCCUUGGUGAUAUCAAUAACUGGAGGCCUAUCACUAUUGGUUCAGUGGUGAUUAGGCUGUUUUCCAGGAUCGCUAAGGUGAGGCUGUCCAAAGCAUGUCCCAUUAACCCCUGGUAACAGGGUUUUAUUUGCGCAUCAGGUUGUGCUGAAAACCUCAAGUUGCUACAACUUGUGGUAAAAACAGCGAAACGAGAGUAUAAACAUCUGGGGGUUGUGUUUGUGGACAUUGCUAAGGCA